AAUCCAUUCUGUUGACAUUGGAAAAGUAGUCUCUUGUACCUUUCCCAUGCCUCGUAAUAGCAUUCUAAAUCUAAUCGAGGAAAAGUAGUGAUUUCGUCUCUCAGCUU
rnacentral:snoRNA from 1 species